rnacentral:rRNA from 1 species
CCAAAGCUGGCGACCGGCGCACGGGUGAGUAACACGUAUCCAACCUGCCUCAUACUCGGGGAUAGCCUUUCGAAAGAAAGAUUAAUACCCGAUGGCAUAGUUCUUCCGCAUGGUAGAACUAUUAAAGAAUUUCGGUCAUCGAUGGGGAUGCGUCCCAUUAGGUUGUUGGCGGGGUAACGGCCCACCAAGCCUUCGAUGGAUAGGGGUUCUGAGAGGAAGGUCCCCCACAUUGGAACUGAGACACGGUCCAA